rnacentral:rRNA from 1 species
UACAGAGGGUGCAAGCGUUGUUCGGAAUUACUGGGCGUAAAGGGUGCGUAGGCGGCCUGCUAAGUCGAACGUGAAAUCCCCGAGCUCAACUCGGGAACUGCGUCCGAUACUGACAGGCUUGAAUCCGGGAGAGGGAUGCGGAAUUCCAGGUGUAGCGGUGAAAUGCGUAGAUAUCUGGAGGAACACCGGUGGCGAAGGCGGCAUCCUGGACCGGCAUUGACGCUGAGGCGCGAAAGCUAGGGGAGCAAACGGG